rnacentral:rRNA from 1 species
AGAGUUUGAUCCUGGCUCAGGAUGAACGCUAGCGGCAGGCUUAACACAUGCAAGUCGAGGGGCAGCGGGGAGGAAGCUUGCUUUCUCCGCCGGCGACCGGCGCACGGGUGAGUAACACGUAUGCAACCUGCCCCUGUCAGGGGGACAACCCGCCGAAAGGCGGGCUAAACCCGCGUACAUGCCACCGGGGCAUCCCGGAGGCAGGAAAGGCUUCGGCCGGACAGGGAUGGGCAUGCGGCGCAUUAGGCAGUAGGCGGGGUAACGCCCCACCUAACCGACGAUGCGUAGGGGUUCUGAGAGGAAGGUCCCCCACACUGGUACUGAGACACGGACCAGACUCCUACGGGAGGCAGCAGUGAGGAAUAUUGGUCAAUGGUCGGGAGACUGAACCAGCCAAGCCGCGUGAGGGAGGAAGGUACAGAGUAUCGUAAACCUCUUUUGUCAGGGAACAAAGACUGGGACGCGUCCCCGGAUGAGUGUACCUGAAGAAAAAGCAUCGGCUAACUCCGUGCCAGCAGCCGCGGUAAUACGGAGGAUGCGAGCGUUAUCCGGAUUUAUUGGGUUUAAAGGGUGCGCAGGCGGUCUGUUAAGUCAGCGGUCAAAGCCCGGGGCUCAACCCCGGCCCGCCGUUGAAACUGGCAGUCUCGAGUUGGAGAGAAGUAUGCGGAAUGCGCGGUGUAGCGGUGAAAUGCAUAGAUAUCGCGCAGAACUCCGAUUGCGAAGGCAGCAUGCCGGCUCCACACUGACGCUGAGGCACGAAAGCGUGGGUAUCGAACAGGAUUAGAUACCCUGGUAGUCCACGCAGUAAACGAUGAAUGCUGGCUGUCCGGGGGGACUGACCCCUGGGUGGCGAAGCGAAAGCGAUAAGCAUUCCACCUGGGGAGUACGCCGGCAACGGUGAAACUCAAAGGAAUUGACGGGGGCCCGCACAAGCGGAGGAACAUGUGGUUUAAUUCGAUGAUACGCGAGGAACCUUACCCGGGCUCAAACGGGGAGUGGCGCAGGCAGAGACGCCUGUUUCCCACGGGACACUCCCCGAGGUGCUGCAUGGUUGUCGUCAGCUCGUGCCGUGAGGUGUCGGCUUAAGUGCCAUAACGAGCGCAACCCCCGCGUGCAGUUGCUAACAGUCAACGCUGAGGACUCUGCACGGACUGCCGGCGCAAGCCGCGAGGGAGGCGGGGAUGACGUCAAAUCAGCACGGCCCUUACGUCCGGGGCGACACACGUGUUACAAUGGGUGGUACAGCGGGAAGCCAGGCGGCGACGCCGAGCGGAACCCGAAAUCCACUCUCAGUUCGGAUCGGAGUCUGCAACCCGACUCCGUGAAGCUGGAUUCGCUAGUAAUCGCGCAUCAGCCAUGGCGCGGUGAAUACGUUCCCGGGCCUUGCACACACCGCCCGUCA